rnacentral:rRNA from 1 species
UGGCGGCGUGGUUAAGACAUGCAAGUCGGACGCUGAUUAGGGGGUAGCAAUAUUCUCUAGUCGGAGUGGCGCAAGGGUGCGUAACACGUGGGUAAUCUGCCGUGAAGCCUGGGAUAACUCGCUGAAAGGCGAGCUAAUACCGGAUGAGACUGUGAGGAAGCAUUUUCUCGCAUUGAAAGCUGGGGACCUGCAAAGGCCUGGCCCUUCACGAUGAGCCCGCGGCCUAUCAGCUAGUUGGUGAGGUAACGGCCCACCAAGGCUAAGACGGGUAGCUGGUCUGAGAGGACGACCAGCCACACUGGAACUGAGACACGGUCCAGACACCUACGGGUGGCAGCAGUCGAGAAUUUUUCACAAUGGGCGCAAGCCUGAUGGAGCGACGCCGCGUGGGGGAUGAAGGGUUUCGAUCCGUAAACCCCUGUCAUUUGCGAACAAUGGUUGAGCAAUAACACUGUUCAACUUGAUAGUAGCGGAAGAGGAAGGGACGGCUAACUCUGUGCCAGCAGCCGCGGUAAUACAGAGGUCCCAAGCGUUGUUCGGAUUCACUGGGCGUAAAGGGUGCGUAGGUGGCCGUGGAAGUUCGGUGUGAAAGCUCGGAGCUCAACUCCGAAAAGUCAUUGAAUACUCUA